rnacentral:sRNA from 1 species
CCCUAGCCCCGAUAGUAACGGCAUCCUUUUUUGUCAUUGUGCUGAGUAAUUUCUAAAGAUUGCUUCACUUCGUUCACAAUGACAAAAAAGAUAUAGUGGAUAGCGGGAUUAAGC